rnacentral:rRNA from 1 species
UUCGCCCUUAGAGUUUGAUCCUGGCUCAGGACGAACGCUGGCGGCGUGCCUAACACAUGCAAGUCGAGCGAAUGAAAUUCCUUCGGGAACGGAUUUAGCGGCGGACGGGUGAGUAACACGUGGGCAACCUGCCUCAUAGAGGGGAAUAGCCUUCCGAAAGGGAGAUUAAUACCGCAUANAAUUGUAGUACCGCAUGGUACAGCAAUUAAAGGAGCAAUCCGCUAUGAGAUGGGCCCGCGGCGCAUUAGCUAGUUGGUGGGGUAAAGGCUCACCAAGGCGACGAUUGGUAGCCGAACUGAGAGGUUGAUCGGCCACAUUGGGACUGAGACACGGCCCAGACUCCUACGGGAGGCAGCAGUGGGGAAUAUUGCGCAAUGGGGGGAACCCUGACGCAGCAACGCCGCGUGAAGGAUGAAGGUUUUCGGAUUGUAAACUUCUUUGAUGAGGGACGAAACAAAUGACGGUACCUCAAAAACAAGCCACGGCUAACUACGUGCCAGCAGCCGCGGUAAUACGUAGGUGGCGAGCGUUGUCCGGAAUUACUGGGUGUAAAGGGCGUGUAGGCGGGGGAGCAAGUCAGAUGUGAAAUACCGAGGCUUAACUUCGGGGGUGCAUCUGAAACUGUUUUUCUUGAGUAUCGGAGAGGAAAGUGGAAUUCCUAGUGUAGCGGUGAAAUGCGUAGAUAUUAGGAGGAACACCAGUGGCGAAGGCGACUUUCUGGACGAUAACUGACGCUGAGGCGCGAAAGCGUGGGGAGCAAACAGAAUUAGAUACCCUGGUAGUCCACGCCGUAAACGAUGGAUACUAGGUGUAGGAGGUAUCGACUCCUUCUGUGCCGCAGUUAACACAAUAAGUAUCCCACCUGGGGAGUACGGCCGCAAGGCUGAAACUCAAAGGAAUUGACGGGGACCCGCACAAGCAGUGGAGUAUGUGGUUUAAUUUGAAGCAACGCGAAGAACCUUACCAGGGCUUGACAUGCAGGUGAAUAUGCUAGAGAUAGUAUAGUCCUUCGGGACACCUGUGCAGGUGGUGCAUGGUUGUCGUCAGCUCGUGUCGUGAGAUGUUGGGUUAAGUCCCGCAACGAGCGCAACCCCCGUUGCUAGUUGCCAUCAUUAAGUUGGGCACUCUAGCGAGACUGCCGGUGACAAAUCGGAGGAAGGUGGGGAGGACGUCAAAUCAUCAUGCCCCUUAUGUCCUGGGCUACACACGUACUACAAUGGCUAUAACAGCAGGGAGGUAAGGAGUAAUCCGGAGCGAAUCCUCAAAAAUAGUCCCAGUUCGAAUUGUGGGGUGAAACCCGCCCACACGAAGUCGGAAUUGCUAGUAAUGGCAGGUCAGCAUACUGCCGUGAAUAAAGGCCCGGGUCUUGCACACACCGCCCGUCA